CUCUCUCUCUCUCACACACACACUCUAUCUCUCUCCUCUUUUUAUUUUUUGUUUUUUUAUCACAUUCAUAUGCUUGCGCACACAUGCAGCAGGUCUCAAAAGACAAUUUUUAUCUUUGUUGAAGUGAGGCUCAACUGAAUUCUUGAAACAAUGGGCUGUUGGUAUAGGACGAAAUUAAGUUCUUAUGUACGUAUCAUACUGUUCUUUUGGUAUUGACAGG
rnacentral:misc_RNA from 1 species